rnacentral:rRNA from 1 species
UACGUAGGGGGCAAGCGUUGUCCGGAAUUAUUGGGCGUAAAGCGUCCGCAGGUGGCCUUCCAAGUCUGCUGUCAAAGACCGGGGCUUAACCCCAGAAAGGCAGUGGAAACUGAAAAGCUAGAGAGAGGUAGGGGCAGAGGGAAUUCCCAGUGUAGCGGUGAAAUGCGUAGAGAUUGGGAAGAACACCGGUGGCGAAAGCGCUCUGCUGGACCUUAUCUGACACUCAGGGACGAAAGCUAGGGGAGCGAAUGGG